UAGGGAAUAUUAGAAAUGGACGAAAGUCUGAUCUAGCAACACCGCGUGUGCGAAGAAGGCCUUCGGGUUGUAAAGCACUUUUUGGAAGGAAUAGGAAGGAAUGUACUUCCAGAAUAAGUCUCGGCUAAUUACGUGCCAGCAGCCGCGGUAACACGUAGGAGGCGAACGUUAUCCGGAUUUACUGGGCGUAAAGCGCGUGUAGGUGGUACUGUAAGUAGGGCGUGAAAGCUCCUGGCUCAACUGGGAGAGGCCGUUCUAAACUACAGAACUAGAGGAUGGUAGAGGGAGGUGGAAUUCCAGGUGUAGCGGUGGAAUGCGCAGAUAUCUGGAGGAACACCGGUGGCGAAGGCGGCCUCCUGGACCAUUCCUGACACUCAGACGCGAAAGCUAGGGUAGCAAACGG
rnacentral:rRNA from 1 species